GUGUCAGCCGCCGCGGUAAUACGGGGGGGGCGAGCGUUGUUCGGAAUUACUGGGCGUAAAGGGCGCGUAGGCGGCUUCGGAAGUCCUGGGUGAAAGCCCCCGGCUCAACCGGGGAAGGUCUCAGGAAACCACGGAGCUAGAGUGCUGGAGAGGGAAGCGGAAUUCCCGGUGGAGCGGUGAAAUGCGUAGAGAUCGGGAGGAACACCGGAGGCGAAGGCGGCUUCCUGGACAGACACUGACGCUGAGGCGCGAAAGCCAGGGGAGCGAACGGGAUUAGAUACCCCGGUAGUCCUGGCCCUAAACGAUGAACACUAGGUGUGGGGGGUAGGCAAUUCCCUCCGUGCCGGAGAUAACUUGUUAAGUGUUCCGCCUGGGGAGUACGGCCGCAAGGCUGAAACUCAAAUGAAUUGACGGGG
rnacentral:rRNA from 1 species